CGGAAGACCAAGGGUUCCUGUCCAACGUUAAUCGGGGCAGGGUGAGUCGACCCCUAAGGCGAGGCCGAAAGGCGUAGUCGAUGGGAAACAGGUUAAUAUUCCUGUACUUGGUGUUACUGCGAAGGGGGGACGGAGAAGGCUAUGUUGGCCGGGCGACGGUUGUCCCGGUUUAAGCGUGUAGGCUGGUUUUCCAGGCAAAUCCGGAAAAUCAAGGCUGAGGCGUGAUGACGAGGCACUACGGUGCUGAAGCAACAAAUGCCCUGCUUCCAGGAAAAGCCUCUAAGCAUCAGGUAACAUCAAAUCGUACCCCAAACCGACACAGGUGGUCAGGUAGAGAAUACCAAGGCGCUUGAGAGAACUCGGGUGAAGGAACUAGGCAAAAUGGUGCCGUAACU
rnacentral:rRNA from 1 species